rnacentral:rRNA from 1 species
UGCCAGACUCCUACGGGAGGCAGCAGUGGGGAAUAUUGCACAAUGGGGGAAACCCUGAUGCAGCGACGCCGCGUGAGUGAAGAAGUAUUUCGGUAUGUAAAGCUCUAUCAGCAGGGAAGAAGAAGGACGGUACCUGAGUAAGAAGCCCCGGCUAACUACGUGCCAGCAGCCGCGGUAAUACGUAGGGGGCAAGCGUUAUCCGGAUUUACUGGGUGUAAAGGGAGCGUAGACGGCGAUGCAAGCCAGAUGUGAAAGCCCGGGGCUCAACCCCGGGACUGCAUUUGGAACUGUGUGGCUGGAGUGUCGGAGAGGCAGGCGGAAUUCCUAGUGUAGCGGUGAAAUGCGUAGAUAUCAGGAGGAACACCGGCGGCGAAGGCGGCCUGCUGGACCGUAACUGACGUUGAGGCUCGAAAGCGUGGGGAGCAAACAGGAUUAGAUCCCCUAGUA